UUGGACUGCCGAUGAAAUUUAAUAAUUUGCUUUGAGUAAAAGCGUAUGCUUCGCUGCCACUGCUUUAUAGACGAAUAACAUCGUCUACCUAGGUCAGGAAGUUGCGACAUCAGAAGAAAAGCAAUUACUAAAAACGAGAUGCCCGCAGAGAGGAAACUGGUAGCGUAUCUGAUCAUUUCUGUCCUGUGCGCAAUAAGCCCAGCUGUGAAUGCAUCUUCGGGAGGACGAUGGUAUAGGAGUGACUGCUGGAGAUCUCGGCUGUUGCAGACAAGACACCCUGUGGUUACAUUUCCAAGCAGACGUGGAGGUUCAGUGAUUAUUUCUACAACUUCUUCAUAUAC
rnacentral:lncRNA from 1 species